GCAGAAUAACUUGUUCUGUGGUUUAAGCCUGAAUGCAUGGAUAUAUAUAUUCUUGUAUUCAUUUUCAGGGUCUAUGAUCCCAAAUAGCACUUUAUAGUCAGAUAGAAAUCUUGAAAUUAUAGCUAUAUAGAUGUUCUCAACAACAGAGAAGCUCGUUAGUGACGGAGAAUAUCUAUGACCCUCAUUAGCUAAUCAUCUUUUAAUUAGGCCGAGAAGAAAAAGACGCCGCCGAUAGUCUGCAACGAAACUAGGACAGAAUUGCACUACGAAGGGUUGGUCGACGGAACGGUUGUUUGACGGCACCACUCCCACACCGAAGCAUGGCAAACCUGGUAUCGCAUUCACGGUCCACUGCCUCAGGAUUCGGGUCUCCACCCUGCUUCUACGCUUCUACGUUUCCUCGUAAAAAAAAAGAAAGAGAGAGAGAAAGAG